GAGCUGGGUUCAGAACGUCGUGAGACAGUUCGGUCUCCUAUCUACCAUGGGCGUCGAUGACUGAAGGAAUUCAUCCUUAGUACGAGAGGACCGGGAUGAACAGACCUCUUGUGUACCAGUUGUUUUGCCAAAAGCACAGCUGGGUAGCGACGUCUGGCUCGGAUAAACGCUGAAAGCAUCUAAGCGUGAAGUCGAUCCUAAGAUUAGUCAUCAUUUGAGACCCCUGCGAGACGAGCAGGUUGAUAGGCCGUAGGUGUAAGCGUGGUAACACGUUGAGCCGAGCGGUACUAAUCGGUCGAGCUCUACA
rnacentral:rRNA from 1 species